UACGUAGGGUGCAAGCGUUGUCCGGAAUUAUUGGGCGUAAAGAGCUCGUAGGCGGUUUGUCGCGUCGGCUGUGAAAACCUGGGGCUCAACCCCGGGCCUGCAGCCGAUACGGGCAAGCUAGAAUUCGGUAGGGGAGACUGGAAUUCCUGGUGUAGCGGUGGAAAUGCGCAGAUAUCAGGAGGAACACCGGUGGCGAAGGCGGGUCUCUGGGCCGAUAUUGACGCUGAGGAGCGAAAGCGUGGGGAGCAAACAGG
rnacentral:rRNA from 1 species